AUUUUUCAUUCAGUCCUUUUGGUGCAAUUGUUUCCAGUGUUCUAAUCCAGUAGAUCUCUCUUUGAAGGUGGUGGUGGGAUCUGGUCAAUCGCCAUUAGUUUCAUCGACAGAAGUGCAUGUCCUGCUUCCAAGAAAUGUCUAGCCACGGGUAACUCAGAGGCAUUAUCCCGGUAAGCCACCCGAAUACUGGAACGAUGGUUGCGAAUUCGCUCUCUUA